rnacentral:rRNA from 1 species
UAGGGAAUCUUCCACAAUGGACGCAAGUCUGAUGGAGCAACGCCGCGUGAGUGAAGAAGGUUUUCGGAUCGUAAAGCUCUGUUGUUGGUGAAGAAAGAUAGUGAGAGUAACUGCUCAUUAUUUGCCGGUAAUCAACCAGAAAGUCACGGCUAACUACGUGCCAGCAGCCGCGG